rnacentral:rRNA from 1 species
UACGUAGGGGGGCGAGCGUUUGUCCGGAGUUACUGGGCGUAAAGGGCAUGCAGGCGGUCCGACACGUUUUGUGUGACAGCGGGUGGCUUAACUACCCGAGGAUACGAAAGACGGUUGGACUUGAGGACUCGAGAGGGACACGGAAUUCCGGGUGGAGUGGUGAAAUGCGUAGAGAUCCGGAGGAACACCGAAGGCGAAGGCAGUGUCCUGGCGAGUGACUGACGCUGAGGUGCGAAAGCCAGGGGGAGCGAACGGG